rnacentral:rRNA from 1 species
UACGAAGGGGGCUAGCGUUGUUCGGAAUUACUGGGCGUAAAGCGCGCGCAGGCGGUUCUUUCAAGUCAGAGGUGAAAGCCCAGAGCUCAACUCUGGAAUGGCCUUUGAGACUAGAGAACUAGGGUACGGGAGAGGUGAGUGGAAUUCCGAGUGUAGAGGUGAAAUUCGUAGAUAUUCGGAAGAACACCAGUGGCGAAGGCGACUUACUGGACACAUAUUGACGCUGAGGUGCGAAAGCGUGGGGAGCAAACAGG